rnacentral:rRNA from 1 species
UACGUAGGGUGCUAGCGUUGUCCGGAAUCAUUGGGCGUAAAGAGCGUGUAGGCGGCCCGGUAAGUCCGCUGUAAAAGUCAAAGGCUCAACCUUUGAAUGUCAGUGGAUACUGCCGGGCUAGAGUCCGGAAGAGGCGAGUGGAACUCCUGGUGUAGCGGUGGAAUGCGCAGAUAUCAGGAAGAACACCAACGGCGAAGGCAGCUCGCUAGGACGGUACUGACGCUGAGACGCGAAAGCGUGGGGAGCGAACAGG